rfam:Glycine max cultivar Williams 82 chromosome 16, whole genome shotgun sequence.
AAUAUGGUGGUGAGGGCAGCUUGCACACAAUUUCUUGAAUCUUUCCCUGUACUCAUACAAGCUUUCUCCACUAAGUUGCUUGAUACUUGAAAUGUCUUUUCUGAUGGC